rnacentral:rRNA from 1 species
CAGUCGCGCGGUAAAACGAAGGGUGCAAGCGUUACUCGGAAUUACUGGGCGUAAAGCGUGCGUAGGUGGUGGUUUAAGUCCGUUGUGAAAGCCCUGGGCUCAACCUGGGAAUUGCAGUGGAUACUGGGUCACUAGAGUGUGGUAGAGGAUAGUGGAAUUUCCGGUGUAGCAGUGAAAUGCGUAGAGAUCGGAAGGAACAUCUGUGGCGAAGGCGACUAUCUGGGCCAACACUGACACUGAGGCACGAAAGCGUGGGGAGCAAACAGGAUUAGAUACCCCGGUAGUCCCUGUCUCUAAUACA